rnacentral:rRNA from 1 species
AACGAACGCUGGCGGCAUGCCUAACACAUGCAAGUCGAAUGAGACCUUCGGGUCUAGUGGCGCACGGGUGCGUAACGCGUGGGAACCUGCCCUUAGGUUCGGAAUAACUCCCCGAAAGGGGUGCUAAUACCGGAUAAUGUCUUCGGACCAAAGAUUUAUCGCCUUUGGAUGGGCCCGCGUUGGAUUAGCUAGUUGGUAGGGUAAAAGCCUACCAAGGCGACGAUCCAUAGCUGGUCUGAGAGGAUGAUCAGCCACACUGGGACUGAGACACGGCCCAGACUCCUACGGGAAGCAGCAGUGGGGAAUAUUGGACAAUGGGCGAAAGCCUGAUCCAGCAAUGCCGCGUGAGUGAUGAAGGCCUUAGGGUUGUAAAGCUCUUUUACCCGGGAUGAUAAUGACAGUACCGGGAGAAUAAGCUCCGGCUAACUCCGUG